rnacentral:rRNA from 1 species
AGGGUUUGAUCAUGGCUCAGAACGUACGCUGGCGGCACGCCUAACACAUGCAAGUCGAACGAAGUAGCAAUACUUAGUGGCAGACGGGUGAGUAACAUGUGGGUAUCUGCCCUUUGGCCUGGAAUAACACGAGGAAACUUGUGCUAAUACUGGAUAAGUCUUUACGGAGAAAGCUUUAUGCACCAUUGGAUGAGCCCGCACUUGAUUAGUUUGUUGGUGGGGUAAUGGCCUACCAAGACUGUGAUCAAUAGCUGAUUUGAGAGGAUGAUCAGCCACAUUGGGACUGAGACACGGCCCAAACUCCUACGGGAGGCAGCAGUGGGGAAUCUUGCACAAUGGAGGAAACUCUGAUGCAGCGAUGCCGCGUGAGUGAAGAAGGCCUUUGGGUUGUAAAGCUCUUUCGUCGGGGAAGAAAAUGACUGUACCCGAAUAAGAAGGUCCGGCUAACUUCGUGCCAGCAGCCGCGGUAAUACGAAGGGACCUAGCGUAGUUCGGAAUUACUGGGCUUAAAGAGUUCGUAGGUGGUUGAAAAAGUUGGUGGUGAAAUCCCAGAGCUUAACUCUGGAACUGCCAUCAAAACUUUUCAGCUAGAGUUUGAUAGAGGAAAGCAGAAUUUCUAGUGUAGAGGUGAAAUUCGUAGAUAUUAGAAAGAAUACCAAUUGCGAAGGCAGCUUUCUGGAUCAUUACUGACACUGAGGAACGAAAGCAUGGGUAGCGAAGAGGAUUAGAUACCCUCGUAGUCCAUGCCGUAAACGAUGUGUGUUAGACGUUGGAAAUUUAUUUUCAGUGUCGCAGCGAAAGCGAUAAACACACCGCCUGGGGAGUACGACCGCAAGGUUAAAACUCAAAUGAAUUGACGGGGACCCGCACAAGUAGUGGAGCAUGUGGUUUAAUUCGAAGAUACGCGCAGAACCUUACCAACACUUGACAUGUUCGUCGCGACUUUAAGAGAUUAAAGUUUUCGGUUCGGCCGGACGAAACACAGGUGCUGCAUGGCUGUCGUCAGCUCGUGUCGUGAGAUGUUGGGUUAAGUCCCGCAACGAGCGCAACCCUCACUUUUAGUUGCCAUCAUUAAGUUGGGCACUCUGAAAGAACUGCCAGUGAUAAGCUGGAGGAAGGUGGGGAUGACGUCAAGUCCUCAUGGCCCUUACGUGUUGGGCUACACACGUGCUACAAUGGUAUCUACAACAGGAAGCGAAACAGCGAUGUUAAGCAAAUCCUUAAAAGAUACCUCAGUUCGGAUUGCACUCUGCAACUCGAGUGCAUGAAGCUGGAAUUACUAGUAAUCGUGGAUCAGCGUGCCGCGGUGAAUGCGUUCCCGGGUCUUGUACACACCGCCCGUCACACCAUGGGAGUUGGUUCUACCUUAAGGCAAGGCAUAAAACCCUUGACCACGGUAUAGUCAGCGACUGGGGUGAAGUCGUAACAAGGUAGCCGUA